AUUGAACGCUGGCGGCAGGCCUAACACAUGCAAGUCGAACGGUAACAGGAAGCAGCUUGCUGCUUCGCUGACGAGUGGCGGACGGGUGAGUAAUGUCUGGGAAGCUGCCUGAUGGAGGGGGAUAACUACUGGAAACGGUAGCUAAUACCGCAUAAUGUCGCGAGACCAAAGAGGGGGACCUUCGGGCCUCUUGCCAUCGGAUGUGCCCAGAUGGGAUUAGCUUGUUGGUGGGGUAACGGCUCACCAAGGCGACGAUCCCUAGCUGGUCUGAGAGGAUGACCAGCCACACUGGAACUGAGACACGGUCCAGACUCCUACGGGAGGCAGCAGUGGGGAAUAUUGCACAAUGGGCGCAAGCCUGAUGCAGCCAUGCCGCGUGUAUGAAGAAGGCCUUCGGGUUGUAAAGUACUUUCAGCGGGGAGGAAGGGAGUAAAGUUAAUACCUUUGCUCAUUGACGUUACCCGCAGAAGAAGCACCGGCUAACUCCGUG
rnacentral:rRNA from 1 species